GGCCUCGUGGUGUAGCAGUUAACACUUUGGACUCUGAAUCUAACCACCCGAGUUGGAGUUUCGGGUAGGCCC
rnacentral:tRNA from 1 species